rnacentral:tRNA from 1 species
UCCUUUGUGGCUCAGCUGGUAAAGAAUCUGUCUGCAAUUCAGGUAACCUGGGUUCAAUCCCUGGUUUGGGAA